GGUCUCGUGGUCUAGCGGUAUGAUACUCGCUUAGGGAGGAUGCCUUACAGCAACCUUGAAAACUCUAAGCCAAUUGCGAGUGGUCCCGGGUUCGAUUCCCGGCGAGACCC
rnacentral:tRNA from 1 species